rnacentral:rRNA from 1 species
CCUACGGGUGGCAGCAGUGGGGAAUAUUGGACAAUGGGGGGAACCCUGAUCCAGCCAUGCCGCGUGUGUGAAGAAGGCCCUCGGGUUGUAAAGCACUUUCAGUGAGGAAGAACGCCUGGUGGUUAAUACCCAUCAGGAAAGACAUCACUCACAGAAGAAGCACCGGCUAACUCCGUGCCAGCAGCCGCGGUAAUACGGAGGGUGCGAGCGUUAAUCGGAAUUACUGGGCGUAAAGCGCGCGUAGGUGGCUUGAUAAGCCGGUUGUGAAAGCCCCGGGCUCAACCUGGGAACGGCAUCCGGAACUGUCGAGCUAGAGUGCAGGAGAGGAAGGUAGAAUUCCCGGUGUAGCGGUGAAAUGCGUAGAGAUCGGGAGGAAUACCAGUGGCGAAGGCGGCCUUCUGGACUGACACUGACGCUGAGGUGCGAAAGCGUGGGUAGCAAACAGGAUUAGAUACCCGUGUAGUC